rnacentral:rRNA from 1 species
UACGGGGGGAGCAAGCGUUGUUCGGAUUUACUGGGCGUAAAGGGCGCGUAGGCGGUCGUGACAAGUCACUUGUGAAAUCUCCGGGCUUAACUCGGAACGGUCAAGUGAUACUGUCGGACUAGAGUACAGAAGGGGCAACUGGAAUUCUCGGUGUAGCGGUGAAAUGCGUAGAUAUCGAGAGGAACACCUGCGGCGAAGGCGGGUUGCUAGGCUGACACUGACGCUGAGGCGCGAAAGCCAGGGGAGCAAACGGG